CCUACGGGUGACAGCAGUGAGGAAUAUUGGUCAAUGGGCGUAAGCCUGAACCAGCCAAGUCGCGUGAGGGAUGAAGGUUCUAUGGAUCGUAAACCUCUUUUAUAAGGGAAUAAAGCGCGGGACGUGUCCCUUUUUGUAUGUACCUUAUGAAUAAGGAUCGGCUAACUCCGUGCCAGCAGCCGCGGUAAUACGGAGGAUCCGAGCGUUAUCCGGAUUUAUUGGGUUUAAAGGGUGCGUAGGCGGCCUUUUAAGUCAGCGGUGAAAGUCUGCGGCUCAACCAUAGAAUUGCAGUUGAAACUGGGAGUCUUGAGUAUGUUUGAGGCAGGCGGAAUGCGUGGUGUAGCGGUGAAAUGCUUAGAUAUCACGCAGAACCCCGAUUGCGAAGGCAGCCUGCCAAGCUAUGACUGACGCUGAUGCACGAAAGCGUGGGGAUCAAACAGGAUUAGAUACCCGAGUAGUC
rnacentral:rRNA from 1 species